rnacentral:rRNA from 1 species
GACGAACGCUGGCGGCGUGCUUUACACAUGCAAGUCGAACGGUGAAGGUGGAGCUUGCUCCGCCGGAUCAGUGGCGAACGGGUGAGUAACACGUGGGCAACCUGCCCCUAACUUUGGGAUAACUACUCGAAAGAGUAGCUAAUACCGGAUAUGAAGUCUGUAGGCAUCUAUGGAUUUGGAAAGUUUUUCGGUUAGGGAUGGGCCCGCGGCCUAUCAGCUUGUUGGUGAGGUAGUGGCUCACCAAGGCGACGACGGGUAGCCGGCCUGAGAGGGCGACCGGCCACACUGGGGCUGAGACACGGCCCAGACUCCUACGGGAGGCAGCGGUGGGGAAUAUUGCGCAAUGGGUGAAAGCCUGACGCAGCAACGCCGCGUGCGGGAUGAAGGCCUUCGGGUUGUAAACCGCUUUCAGCAGGGAAGAAGCGAAAGUGACGGUACCUGCAGAAGAAGCACCGGCUAACUACGUGCCAGCCGCCGCAGUAA